rnacentral:rRNA from 1 species
GACGAACGCUGGCGGCGUGCUUAACACAUGCAAGUCGUACGGUAAGGCCCUUUCGGGGGUCCACGAGUGGCGAACGGGUGAGUAACACGUGAGUAACCUGCCCACAACUUUGGGAUAACGCUAGGAAACUGGUGCUAAUACUGGAUAUGUGCUCCUGCUGCAUGGUGGGGGUUGGAAAGCUCCGGCGGUUGUGGAUGGACUCGCGGCCUAUCAGCUUGUUGGUGGGGUAGUGGCCUACCAAGGCGGCGACGGGUAGCCGGCCUGAGAGGGUGACCGGCCACAUUGGGACUGAGAUACGGCCCAGACUCCUACGGGAGGCAGCAGGGGGGAAUAUUGCACAAGGGGCGCAAGCCUGAUGCAGCAACGCCGCGGGCGGGAGGACGGCCUUCGGGUUGUAAACCGCUUGCAGCAGGGACGAAGCUUUUUGUGACGGUACCUGCAGAAGAAGCACCGGCUAACUACGUG